rnacentral:lncRNA from 1 species
GCAAGUUGUCCUUGUAUUUGCAGAAGGAAAUCUGCACUCAUUUUUGAUAACUUUCAGUGCAUUCUAUGUUUAUUAUGAAUGCCAUAUUUGUUCAACAUUAAAAUAUUAUGGUACAUCAGAAAUAUCAAUACAUCAUUAGGUAUAACUUCAUCAUCCCCAUUCAUUCAAAUUCUUCUUGGAGUAUGUUAUACAUCUUAGCAGACGCCACAAAAGAAGACAGAAUUGAUGAAACUUACAUUUAAGACAUUACAAGUAAACUUCGAAUCUUUCAUGAAUAGUUUUUGAAGAGUUAUCCUUAAUUUAAUAUAGUAAUGGGGAAAUAGCUACGAGAGAUAUAAAAAUUGUACAGCAAGUAUGGUUCAAUCUUGUCAAAAUAAGAAACAUUACUAAUAAUUCGACCUCAUUGAAUCCGUAUUCAUGUGACCUUUAAUUCAACCCCUUAUCUAGAGAUUGAUUACGCAUAAAUUAUGCGUGUUCAGUUAUUAAAAGGAAACAAAUGUCAACAUUGAAAGUGAAACAAAGGUAAAUAAUUUGAUUGACUGAUUUGAUCGUCAAAACACCAUUCUUAUACAUGUACAAAUGAUGAUUUACAUAUAUUGUUAACCUAUAAUAUGAAAUUAAACAGUCGUUAAAACAAUCGAAUGUCCCGAAAAUACACACGAAACGUAUAUACAUAUUAUCGAACCCAUGUCUUGUUAAUUGUUUUUUUUUUUAGACUUUUUACAAUUUGGAUAUACGUUUAAGUAUGUUAUAAAUCAAGUAUGAGAAUUUUAAUCAAAUCUGUGAACAUGAAUUCGACAGCAUUGCAUCUUAUAUUUGUUUUGUUUGAUUAUUUUUGAACAAUUCUCAAUCGUGAAUAUGCUUUC